rnacentral:rRNA from 1 species
GAUCCUGGCUCAGGAUGAACGCUGGCGGCGUGCCUAACACAUGCAAGUCGAGCGAAGCAUUUUAAAGGAAGUUUUCGGAUGGAAUUUGGAAUGACUGAGCGGCGGACGGGUGAGUAACGCGUGGGUAACCUGCCUCAUACAGGGGGAUAACAGCUAGAAAUGACUGCUAAUACCGCACAAGCACACAGUACCGCAUGGUACAGUGUGAAAAACUCCGGUGGUAUGAGAUGGACCCGCG